ACGAACGCUGGCGGCGUGCCUAACACAUGCAAGUCGAGCGGAGACAGUGAGUAGCUUGCUACGAACUGUUUUAGCGGCGGACGGGUGAGUAACGCGUGAGCAACCUUUCCCAGACAGGGGAAUAACACACCGAAAGGUGUACUAAUACCGCAUAAGACCACGGGAUCACAUGGUUCUGGGGUAAAAGAAUUAUCGGUUUGGGGUGGGCUCGCGUCCGAUUAGGUAGUUGGUGAGGUAACGGCCCACCAAGCCGACGAUCGGUAGCCGACCUGAGAGGGUGAUCGGCCACAUUGGGACUGAGACACGGCCCAAACUCCUACGGGAGGCAGCAGUGGGGAAUAUUGGGCAAUGGAGGAAACUCUGACCCAGCAACGCCGCGUGGAGGAAGAAGGUUUUCGGAUCGUAAACUCCUGUCCUUGGAGACGAGUAGAAGACGGUAUCCAAGGAGGAAGCCCCGGCUAACUACGUGCCAGCAGCCGCGGUAAUACGUAGGGGGCAAGCGUUGUCCGGAAUAAUUGGGCGUAAAGGGCGCGUAGGCGGCUCGGUAAGUCUGGAGUGAAAGUCCUGCUUUUAAGGUGGGAAUUGCUUUGGAUACUGUCGGGCUUGAGUGCAGGAGAGGUUAGUGGAAUUCCCAGUGUAGCGGUGAAAUGCGUAGAGAUUGGGAGGAACACCAGUGGCGAAGGCGACUAACUGGACUGUAACUGACGCUGAGGCGCGAAAGUGUGGGGAGCAAACAGGAUUAGAUACCCUGGUAGUCCACGCCGUAAACGAUGAGUGCUAAGUGUUAGGGGGUUUCCGCCCCUUAGUGCUGCAGCUAACGCAUUAAGCACUCCGCCUGGGGAGUACGACCGCAAGGUUGAAACUCAAAGGAAUUGACGGGGGCCCGCACAAGCGGUGGAGCAUGUGGUUUAAUUCGAAGCAACGCGAAGAACCUUACCAAAUCUUGACAUCCUUUGACAACUCUAGAGAUAGAGCCUUCCCCUUCGGGGGACAAAGUGACAGGUGGUGCAUGGUUGUCGUCAGCUCGUGUCGUGAGAUGUUGGGUUAAGUCCCGCAACGAGCGCAACCCUUAUCUUCAGUUACUAACGCGUGAGGGUGAGGACUCUGAAGAGACUGCCGGGGACAACUCGGAGGAAGGUGGGGACGACGUCAAAUCAUCAUGCCCCUUAUGACCUGGGCUACACACGUGCUACAAUGGCCACGACAGAGAGAAGCGAAAUCGCAAGGUAGAGCGGAACUCAAAAAAGUGGUCCCAGUUCGGAUUGUGGGCUGCAACCCGCCCACAUGAAGUCGGAGUUGCUAGUAAUCGCGGAUCAGCAUGCCGCGGUGAAUACGUUCCCGGGCCUUGUACACACCGCCCGUCACACCAUGGGAGUUGGGAGUGCCCAAAGCCGGUGAGGCAACCGCAAGGAGCCAGCCGUCUAAGGCAAGACCAAUGACUGGGGUG
rnacentral:rRNA from 1 species